GAUGAACGCUGGCGGCGUGCCUAAUACAUGCAAGUCGAGCGAAGCGGGGACAGGUGAGUAACACGUGGAUAACCUCCUCUAAGACUGGGGUUACUUCGGGAAACCGGUGCUUAACCCGAUACUGAUCGAUGGUUCCGGGCGGUAUUAGCUAGUUGGUAAGGUAACGGCUUACCAAGGCGACGAUGCAUAGCCGACCUGAGAGGAUGAUCAGCCACACUGGAACUGAGACACGGUCCAGACUCCUACGGGAGGCAGCAGUAGGGAAUCUUGCACAAUGGGCGAAAGCCUGACGCAGCAACGCCGCGUGAGUGAUGAAGGGCUUAGGAUCGUAAAACUCUGUUAUUAGGGAAGCGGUACCUAAUCAGAAAGCCACGGCUAACUACGUGCCAGCCGCCGCGGUAAUAC
rnacentral:rRNA from 1 species